rnacentral:lncRNA from 1 species
AAUCUUCAUGUAAACAAUAAAUCAUCAUUACAUUUGUGUUUCUUCACCUUAGAAAGAAACUGUGGUGACCAGCAACUUGAAGAUGACUACAACAGUUGCAAGAGAAAUCUAAGAGGUGAAAAGGUAGACAAACUGUAUCAACAUGAAGAAAUAGUGUUUUGUUCUCCAGAUGGUAAUUUGUACAUGAAAACAGUUGGCACAAAACCAAGUGAAAGCUUUGCCUGUAGAAAGCACCUGCUAUCUCAUUCACCAGAAAAUAUGCCCGUUAAAGCUAAUCCUGCACUCAAAUUGUAUGAGUGUCAGAGCUGUCGAGAGAAGCUAUCUAACUGUAGCAAACAUAGGGACGCCUGCACUGAAUUGCAAUCCUUUCAGAAGCAUGCUAAGAUAACUCCUGGAGAGAAAACGUAUGAAUAUAAGAAAUGUGGAAUAUCUUUCUCUGAUGGCACUGAAAGAACUAACAUGGCAGAGAAGCCUUUUGAAUAUAAGCUUGAUGUGCCAGCCUUCAGUACAUCGAACUAUGUUGAAAUCCAAGAAAGACAUCACAGUAGAGUGGACCCAUAUCCCCCAGCUGCAGAAGGUGAACUCAGAGUCAGAGAAAGAAGCACAUCCUAAAAAAUGCUGUCACCAAGGUUAUAAACGCCUCAAAACCAGGACUGUGGUCAGCACUCACCUUAGACUCAAGCAUAACAUCAUAUAUGGUUCUCUGCAUACUACAAACAACCAACAAAUGUAGGAUUACUUCAUAAGGGCA